UUAAACGUCAUAGUUGAGUUCCGAUAAUUUAACCGAUUAAUAUUUCAUCCGCCUUUUUAUUGACUCAUUAAUGAUAACUGCAUGUACUCAUAAUUUGCGUUUCUGGAACAGUGCGUGCGGAUACAUUAAUAUAGGGCUGUAAUCAAGAUAAGAAAAGUGUCUUCAUCCGUUUUGCCCGUAUGCCGAUAGAUAAUUCUGGUUUUAAAGACAGACGACAUUUUUCUUGGUUCACAGCAGACAAGCGUGGCGUUCAGGCGAUACCGGUAGAAAGUGCUGAGUGAUGACGUCAUCAUCGUCUGCUCUCAUAUUGCGCGCGCUGACUGAUGGUACGACAGUAUUUUCAAGAGAAUCGUGACACGAGUUGUUAUAAACAAAUUAUAAGACGUUUACAUACAGAAUGAACCGUAAUUCCAAGAAUUUGACAUUGAUGUUUUUGGUAACUUAUUGCGAAAUUUAUUGGAUUUAGU